UUUUUCUGCCAUGUCACCCUGCAGCCCAAGACCGGUUACUCACUGAAGCUAAGCAGGGCUGAGCCUGGUCAGUACCUUGAUAGGAGACCACUAGGGAACACUAGGUUGCUGUUGGAA
rnacentral:rRNA from 1 species